rnacentral:rRNA from 1 species
UGGGGAAUUUUGGACAAUGGGGGAAACCCUGAUCCAGCCAUGCCGCGUGAGUGAAGAAGGCCUUCGGGUUGUAAAGCUCUUUCAGCCGGAACGAAACGGUCACAGCUAAUACCUGUGACUACUGACGGUACCGGAAGAAGAAGCACCGGCUAACUACGUGCCAGCAGCCGCGGUAAUACGUAGGGUGCGAGCGUUAAUCGGAAUUACUGGGCGUAAAGCGUGCGCAGGCGGUUUUGUAAGUCAGAUGUGAAAUCCCCGGGCUUAACCUGGGAACUGCGUUUGAAACUACAAGGCUAGAGUGUGGCAGAGGGGGGUGGAAUUCCACGUGUAGCAGUGAAAUGCGUAGAGAUGUGGAGGAACACCGAUGGCGAAGGCAGCCCCCUGGGUUAACACUGACGCUCAGGCACGAAAGCGUGGGGAGCAAACA